GUAAGAACAGCUUAACAUGAUCUCAGUUUGAAUCCCCAUGACCCGCGUAGAAAACUGGGCAUGGCUGUGUGUGCUGUCAUUUCAGGGUUGAAGGGUGGAGACAAGCAGAUCCCAGGAGCUUACUGGUGAGCCAAAAUGGAGCCGUGCCUGCAAAACUUGAUGACAUCUGUCUCAGCCAUCAUGCCUCAGAUCUCAGGACCAAGUGGAACCCUGUCAGCAUUGUCUACCAGUAAGAUAACCUCCAUUUAUAGGCUUGCACCAAUCUGUUUUAUCCUCGUUAGUAAGCAGAUCCUAAGGACUGCUACGUGGGAAUCUCCAUCAUCAGCCACUACUCAGUAACAAAGGAAGAAAGCCUCUGAAAUAUUCAGCUUUAAAUAGCUUCUAAGUGUAGAUGACUCACAAGCCUAGAACUCGAGCCCAGGUCUCUUCUGUGCUUCAGAUUUCGAUUCCAAGCACACGUGACAGAUUCAUCUGGGAUGUGGAAGCACUCUGCCCAUAUCAGGCCCAUACUCAUUUCUGGCACAGUUCCCUUCCUUGGCAACCAACCAUGCUUCCUUCUCAGAGUCAGGCACCAGCGAGUGCCUCUGCCACUGCUCCAGUACAGAUUGCGCAGCCACUCCUGGGUAAUCCUGGGUGGGGAAUGGGGGGUGGCGGUGGGGAUGCUGUGCAGCAGACUGCUGAAAAGGAAAAGGAGCGCGGCCUCUGCUGUUGGCUUCCAACAGGGAAUUCCUUUCCCCUGGAGCUCCGCUCCGUUUAGAAGAUUUCACACAUAGCUCUUCGUCCUUGCCUGUUCUUGCUUCAAGUUUCAGGUGACCUUGAGCCAAAGCUGGCGAUGGCGGAGGGAAAAGAAAAUGGAAAACCCCCUCCUUAUUCAGCAAGAUUUCAAUUCUGGACUCCUUUCUCUGUAUGCUUGUUGCCACUUCAUUUGUAUUUUAUUUAUUUAAUCUUUUAAAGGUUUAUUUUAUUUUUUGUGUAUGAGUGCCUUGCCUGUACGGAUGCCUGUGUGACUGGUACCAUCAGAGGUCAACAGAGGGGUCAGAUCCUCAACUACAGGAGUUACAGAUGGCUGUGAACCACCAUGUAGGUGCUGGGAAUUGAACCUGUGUUCUCUGCAAGGGCUGAGCCAUUUUUCUAGCCACUUAUUUUUAUUUUUUAAAUAUUAUUUUGGCUCUGGGAACUAGCUCUCUCUCUCUCUCUCUCUCUCUCUCUCUCUCUCUCUCUCUCUCUCUCUGUGUGUGUGUGUGUGUGUGUGUGUGUUACCUUCAAACUUUAAGGAGUCCUCCUGCCUCAACCUUUGAGUGCUGGAAUUACAAGAAUGCCCUGCCCUGCCAGGUGUUAGGAUUAAUCCCUGUAUGGUUAGAUUUCUCUUCAGAAAGAUGGUAGUGGUUUAUAUUAUUAAAAUACAUGAAAAGCUAUCACACCCUUACUAGCAGUUCUUGCUUUUAUUGCUAAGUCAUUUCAGAUGAGAACUGACACUUUGUUUUCAGCAUGUAUUUCUUUAAUGGUGGUAAAGUGGGCUGUUUUCCAUGGUCCCUGGCCGCUGUGUUCUCUCUCCUGCCAGUUGUCUACGCUCUGCAUUAUCUGUCUAUUUUCUUCCGUGCCUGUAUGCACUCCUUUUAAAACAUUUAACAUUUCAUGUCCACUAGGAAAACCAGCCAUGGGAAUUAAUAGAAGUGUAAUAAAACUCUGUUUUCCCGUUCUGAGAUGAUUUCAUUGUACUGUUUAAUCUAGCUUUACCUGGGAGACUUUUGACAGAAGUCACAUUAGCAACUAAAAUGUAGAAAGACACCAACAUCUAAAUUAAGAAAAUGACCCAAGAUUUCUUUUUCCAACUCUAAAAAAAUUUUUAAGCUGUGUAUUUAUUUUAUUUUGUGUGUACGCAUGUGUGCCAGAGUAUGUGUGCCUUGUGUGGACAGGAGCCUGCGGAGGUCAGAUUGUGUGGACAGGAGCCUGCGGAGGUCAGAUUGUGUGGACAGGAGCCUGCGGAGGUCAGAUUGUGUGGACAGGAGCCUGCGGAGGUCAGAAGCAUUGACCUGGACCUGGAGUUACAGCUAGCUGUGGACCUGGAGUUACAGAUAGCUGUGGACCUGGAGUUACAGAUAGCUGUGGACCUGGAGUUACAGAUAGCUGUGGGCUGUACGCGAAUGCUUUGAAUAAAGCCCUGUCCUCUGCAGGAGCAGGAAGCUCCUGUAACCCCUGAGCCCUCUCUAGCCUUUUGCAACUUUUAGCUAAGCAUUGAAAGUGCUCUUCCCACCCUGCCUGCCCUCUGGUGGAGCUGCCAAAUCAGACAAGCUGUGAAGGGGAACCGAGGAGACCAAAGUUAGCAGCAAUGGCAACCACCCGAACAAGUAAAGCCACUGGCUGACCCACAAGAGACUUGUGUCUUGUUUUUUUCCGGGAUUAAGUACCAGCAACAGUGUCUCUUCUCCUAAGAGUCUACCCUGACUAGUAGUUUUACACGGGUGCUUUUUCUUCUGGUGGUCUUGCUGACCUGGGAACUUUCCCCUGAGAUCCAGCUGUGGAACAGAAUUCAGGUUGCAAGGGUAUGAGAAGUGGCUGACUGGUCUCCAGCUCUGGGAGAGGGAGGAUGCCCCAACAGGACAUCCGUGUAAGCCCCUCAGCUCCACACUAGCUUGCAUUUCUGCACAGCAGAGUCAAGACCUGAAUAGGUCUGGAGUGAAUGCUCAGUGAGAUAGCAGAGCCAGCCAGAGUGCUCUGUAAACAGUGAAGUGCACCAGGGUGCCAACCGGGUGGUGCUGACAGACAACCCCCCCCCCCCCGCCCCCGAAUCAACAUUUAACUCCACUAAGUUGUGUGUCUUAACAAGAGAAAUAAUCAGUAUAUCCUUCUAAUCUUUAGCAAAUAAUGGGAGGCUUUGGUCUCAGAUUCGUAAGAAAAGCAAAUUAUAUGUCCCAAUGUGACUCAGACCUGUGUGCAACUAUCUAGAUUCACUUUUAUUUUUAAUUAUAGCACCAGCAGAGGGGAAGGUUUAAAAUUACACCUUUCAGAACCAGUCAUUAUUUAGUGACUCUGCAUUUCAAAGAUAUUGCUCAUGCCUUUUAAAAAAAUUACCAUGUUCUAUUAUUAUUGCCUUGGCCUAAAUAUAAAUUUAUUGUCAAAGUGGUGAUAACUGGCUUUUGGAGUCCUAUUUUUAAACGUUUUCACGAAGCUGUAAUAAUUUGGAAGAUUUAAGUGAGCAAACAUAUUAAAUGUUCAAGUUGCUUUUCCCUUUAAUUCUGUGUGUCUGGGGAUACAUGUGAAACACAGAACGAUAUAGUGAGAGACGCAAGGCCUGUACUUCUUUUUCUCCCUCACACACAAUCUUUCAUCCAUCUCUUACUCCCCACUAC
rnacentral:lncRNA from 1 species